AACGAACGCUGGCGGCAGGCUUAACACAUGCAAGUCGAGCGCCCCGCAAGGGGAGCGGCAGACGGGUGAGUAACGCGUGGGAACGUACCUUUUGGUUCGGAACAACUCCGGGAAACUGGAGCUAAUACCGGAUAAGCCCUAACGGGGAAAGAUUUAUCGCCGAAAGAUCGGCCCGCGUCUGAUUAGCUAGUUGGUGAGGUAACGGCUCACCAAGGCGACGAUCAGUAGCUGGUCUGAGAGGAUGAUCAGCCACACCGGGACUGAGACACGGCCCAGACUCCUACGGGAGGCAGCAGUGGGGAAUAUUGGACAAUGGGCGCAAGCCUGAUCCAGCCAUGCCGCGUGAGUGAUGAAGGCCUUAGGGUUGUAAAGCUCUUUUGUCCGGGAAGAUAAUGACUGUACCGGAAGAAUAAGCCCCGGCUAACUUCGUG
rnacentral:rRNA from 1 species